rnacentral:lncRNA from 1 species
CCAAAAAUGGAAUUUUUGUACUAAAAAAGGGAAUUUUGGGGGUUAAAAAAUGGGGAUUUGUGGAAAAAAAGGGAAUUUUGGGGGGAAAAAAAGAGAAUUUGGGGUGAAAGGGGUGAAUUUCUAUUGGCCAGGCAAGCCCCGCCCCUCCGAGCUCUGGCCCUGCCCCCGCUGCACCUUCCUGAACAGAGGCCACGCCCACCAGUGCGAGAUCUGCGGCGCUGACCACGCCCCUUUGGAUGACGUCACUUCCGGUGACGCCCCACCCACCAAUAGGAUGGCCGCUGAAUCCCAGGGGCUCCCCCCGGAAUCCCUUGGCCCCGCCCCCUUUUCCACCCUUCCGGAACCUUCCGGCCCCGCCCCCAACCCCGAAUCCCAAAUCCGGCACUUCCGGAGCCGCCUCAGGGGGGUCCUCAAGGCCCUCCUGGGGCGGGGCUUGAGGAAAAAGAGGGCGGGGCCUCCCUUGGGCCCUUCUCAUUGGCCGAAGCCGCUUGGGCGUGGCUGGAGGGGGAGGGGCAGCUGGAGCGGGCUCGCCGCGCUCUGAUUGGUCGGAGGAAACAGCAGCUCCGCCUCCUGUCCAGCCUGGGGUUCCCUGACCCCGCCCCCGCGGGGCGGCGCUGCAGCGGCACCGGGGCAGCCAAUGGGAGGCGCUGUGCGAGCUGCAGCGGCUCAGGCUCCGCCCCUUCCGCCUACGUCAGCAGCAGGGGGCGAGCCUGGGCUGGACUUCAAUCAGCCCGACCAGCAGGUGACUGGUUUGUACUGGUUUAUACUGGGAGGGGGUUUGGGGGUUACUGGUUUGUACUGGGAGGGACUGGGAGGGGAUUUGGGGGUUACUGGUUUAUACUGGGUUAUACUGGGAGGGCACUGGGGGUG